GCCGAAGUGGCGGAACUGGUAGACGCAGCGGACUCAAAAUCCGCCGCCCUCAAAGCGUGUGGGUUCGAGCCCCACCUUCGGCACCA
rnacentral:tRNA from 1 species